GUUUUUUUGAUUUUAAUUUAAAAUUUAGCCUGCCCUAUGACUAAUUGUUAAAUGGCUGCGGUAUAUUGACCGUGCAAAGGUAGCAUAAUCAUUUGUCUUUUAAUUGAAGGCUUGUAUGAAUGGCUGGAUGAGAAAUAAUCUUUCUUUAAAUUUAUUUUUUGAAUUUAAUUUUUAAGUUAAAAAGCUAAAAUUUUUAUAUAGGACGAGAAGACCCUAUAGAACUUUAUUGAUUUUUUUGUAGAUUGAUUUUUUGUAUAUUAUAUUUUUUUAUUUAAAUAUCAAUUCUGUUGGGGUGACAUAAAAAUUUUAUUAACUUUUUAUAAAUUUUUCACUAAUUAGUGUUUUUUUGAUCCAUAAUUUGUGAUUAUAAGAUUAAGUUACCUUAGGGAUAACAGCGUAAUUUUUUUGGAGAGUUCUUAUCGAUAAAAAAGUUUGCGA
rnacentral:rRNA from 1 species